AACCUGGUUGAUCCUGCCAGUAGUCAUAUGCUUGUCUCAAAGAUUAAGCCAUGCAUGUGUAAGUAUAAGUAUUAUACGGCGAAACUGCGAAUGGCUCAUUAAAUCAGUUAUGAUUUAUUUGAUAAUCGAAAGUUACAUGGAUAACCGUGACAAAUUACAGCUAAUACAUGCAGUCAGACCUGGUCCAAGGGUCGUAAUUAUUAGUACUAAACCAUUUCCUCCCGGAAUGUGAUGAAUCAUAAUAAUUGAACGAAUCGUAGUCUACUACGAUAAAUCAUUCAAGUUUCUGCCCUAUCAGCUUUGGAUGGUAGUGUAUUGGACUACCAUGGCAGUCACGGGUAACGGAGAAUUAGGGUUCGAUUCCGGAGAGGGAGCCUGAGAAACGGCUACCACAUCUACGGAAGGCAGCAGGCGCGCAAAUUGCCCAAUCGUGACACACGGAGGCAGUGACAAGAAAUAACAACUCUAGGUUUUCUUAGAAGUGUAAUGAGGAUAAUUUACAACCCUUACUAAAAGCAAUUGGAGGGCAAGUCUGGUGCCAGCAGCCGCGGUAAUUCCAGCUCCGAUAGCGUAUAUUAAAGUUGUUGCAGUUAAAAAGCUCGUAGUUGAAGUUCUGACUGUGUGAGGCCUCAGCACUUGAUGCGAUGGUACUCGCAGCCAUCCGCUUGCAAACAUAUGUCCGUCCUUAACCGGGCGACCAUAUGAGUAAACAUUUUACCUUGAGAAAAACAGAGUGUUCCAGGCAGGUUUGUCCGGAAUGUAUUAGCAUGGAAUAAUAGAAUAUGACUGAAGUCAAUUUAUUGGUUUAGGGCUUUAGUAAUGAUUAAUAGGAACAGUCGGGGGCAUUAGUACUUGACAGUCAGAGGUGAAAUUCUAGGAUUUGUCAAAGACUAACAAAUGCGAAAGCAUUUGCCAAGGAUGUUUUCAUUAAUCAAGAACGAAAGUUAGGGGAUCAAAGACGAUCAGAUACCGUCCUAGUCUUAACUAUAAACUAUACCGACUCGGAUUCAGAUGAAUUACAAAGUUCAUUUGGGACCGUAGGAGAAAUCAAAGUUUUUGGGUUCUGGGGGAAGUAUGGUCGCAAGGCUGAAACUUAAAGGAAUUGACGGUUUUGCACCACCAUGGAGUGGAGCUUGCGGCUUAAUUUGACUCAACACUGGGAAACUCAUCAGGGCAAGAAGAUUUUAGGAUUGACAGAUUGAGAGUUCUUUCUUGAUUGGUCUAGUGGUGGUGCAUGGCCGUUCUUAGUUGGUGGAGUGAUUUGUCUGGUUAAUUCCGUUAACGAACGAGACCUUAACCUGCUAACUAGUAUCAUUGUCCCAAACAGUGAUUACUUCUUAGAGGGACUAUGUAUUGUAAAUACAUGGAAGUUUGAGGCAAUAACAGGUCUGUGAUGCCCUUAGAUGUCCUGAGCUGCACGCGAACUACAAUGGCGCUUUCAACGAGCUUUUCCUGAUCCGAAAGGAUUUGGGUAAUCUUUUUAGUGAGCGCCGUGAUUGGGAUAGAUCUUUGUAAUUAUGGAUCUUGAACUAGGAAUUCCUAGUAAGCGCGGUUCAUCAAACCGUGCUGAUUACGUCCCUGCAAAAUGUACACACCGCCCGUCGCUAUUACCGAUUGAGUGCUCAGGUGAACCUUCUUGAUAGUGUAAACUAAAAAUAUUAAGUAAACCUUUGCACUUAGAGGAAACAAAAGUCGUAACAAGGUUUCCGUAGGUGAACCUGCAGAAGGAUCA
rnacentral:rRNA from 1 species